GUCUAGUAUAAGCACUUUAUACUGUGAAACUGCGAAUGGCUCAUUAAAUCAGUUAUCGUUUAUUUGAUAGUACCUUACUACAUGGAUACCUGUGGUAAUUCUAGAGCUAAUACAUGCUGAAAACCUCGACUUCGGAAGGGGUGUAUUUAUUAGAUAAAAAACCAAUGCCCUUCGGGGCUCCUUGGUGAAUCAUAAUAACUUAACGAAUCGCAUGGCCUUGCGCCGGCGAUGGUUCAUUCAAAUUUCUGCCCUAUCAACUUUCGAUGGUAGGAUAGUGGCCUACCAUGGUGGCAACGGGUAACGGGGAAUUAGGGUUCGAUUCCGGAGAGGGAGCCUGAGAAACGGCUACCACAUCCAAGGAAGGCAGCAGGCGCGCAAAUUACCCAAUCCCGACACGGGGAGGUAGUGACAAUAAAUACUGAUACGGGGCUCUUUUGGGUCUCGUAAUUGGAAUGAGUACAAUCUAAAUCCCUUAACGAGGAACAAUUGGAGGGCAAGUCUGGUGCCAGCAGCCGCGGUAAUUCCAGCUCCAAUAGCGUAUAUUAAAGUUGUUGCAGUUAAAAAGCUCGUAGUUGAACCUUGGGUCUGGCUGGCCGGUCCGCCUCACCGCGAGUACUGGUCCGGCUGGACCUUUCCUUCUGGGGAAUCUCAUGGCCUUCACUGGCUGUGGGGGGAACCAGGACUUUUACUGUGAAAAAAUUAGAGUGUUCAAAGCAGGCCUUUGCUCGAAUACAUUAGCAUGGAAUAAUAGAAUAGGACGUGCGGUUCUAUUUUGUUGGUUUCUAGGACCGCCGUAAUGAUUAAUAGGGAUAGUCGGGGGCGUCAGUAUUCAGCUGUCAGAGGUGAAAUUCUUGGAUUUGCUGAAGACUAACUACUGCGAAAGCAUUCGCCAAGGAUGUUUUCAUUAAUCAGGGAACGAAAGUUAGGGGGAUCGAAGACGAUCAGAUACCGUCGUAGUCUUAACCAUAAACUAUGCCGACUAGGGAUCGGACGGUGUUUCUAUUAUGACCCGUUCGGCACCUUACGAGAAAUCAAAGUUUUUGGGUUCUGGGGGGGAGUAUGGUCGCAAGGCUGAAACUUAAAGAAAUUGACGGAAGGGCACCACCAGGCGUGGAGCCUGCGGCUUAAUUUUGACUCAACACGGGGAAACUCACCCGGUCCCGA
rnacentral:rRNA from 1 species